GUAAGUAAAGAAGACAAGGUAAAAGUAGAAAUGUUUACAACAAAAAUCUUGAGAGAGAUAAAGUAAGUCUGCUCUUUAGGAUUGUAUUGAUUCAUUCAUUCAUUCAAACAAUAUUUAUUAAGCACCUGCUUUGUAUCAGGCAAUUGCUUGAUAAUGGAGUUGCAGUGAUCUUUAGAACAGAUGUGGGUAUGUGGGUUCACAACACAUACUUUAUGUUUUUGUUGUUGGUUUUCUUUUUUGAGUCAGCACCUUGCUUUGUUGCCAGGCUGGAGUGCAGUGGAACUAUCAUAGCUCACUAAGGCUUUAAACUCCUGGGCUUAAGUGAUCCUCCCGCCUCAGCCUCCUGAGUAACUGGGAUUACAGGCAUGCACCACCAUGCCUAGCUCUACAACAUGUAUUUUGUAUUAAGUUAUCAUGGCAGAGCUAACUCUAUACAAUUCUGAGUGCCAGAAAGGAAAUGUGGGAAACACCCAAGAGGUCAUAUCUGUUUUCAAUAUCCACAUAACAUAAUCUUGCUCUGAAAUCAGUGAGGCCUGGAAAGGGACAGCUAUUUUCAGUCAAAAAAAUAAAGGUUUGGAAUAUUGGAACAGCACAGAAAAUGACAUGCCAACAUAUCUCCUACUAUAUAUGUUACUUGCAACAAAGCAAAGUAAAUUUAUAAACAUCUCAUAAAACUGUGAAAGUGUAAAAUCAUGAGAAGUUUCUAGUAAGUGUAAACCAAAAAUAAAAUUCUAAGGCUCCCCCCAACCAUCUGAAUGGACUUUCUUCUCAGCCAGGGCUCUUUUAAAAUUUAACCUGAGAGACUGUUUCAGGCCAUGAUGGGAAGUGGGGGUCGAAACAUGACUCAUUAUAUUAGGUUGGUGCAAAGGUAAUUGCAGUUUUUCUCAUUAAAGUAAUGGCAAAAAAAACCCCACAAUUACCUUUGCACUAACGUAAUAGCUCCUUGGCAUUAACAUCAACACAGACUUUAAGUCUGAUAAUAUGGGGGUUCAGUCAGGCUGGUGGGAAAAAGUUAUAGAGAAUAUACACAAAUCCUUUGGGAAGGCCUGAGGGUUUUUACAUAUAGUACUUAGCUGAAGGCAGCCUUGUCCCCUUAGUUAAAUAAAUUAGAGUAGAAACAAAGGAAUGUGGAGAGUUUACCUAACUAGCUUGUUUACUCAUGUGGUCCUAAGACUAACUUUUGAUCUACUAUGGGUGCUUAAUUGCCUUCUACUCCGGAGUCUACAAUAUCAAUUACCCCCUAGUGGUGUUGACUCAAGCCUUUGUCAAUUAAUCUUUACUGAAUAAAUACGAGUCUUGCUGGCGAGUCUCGCUGGCUGGUCGAGGCCGUGCUUUACAGCACUCUGCUUGGAGUCUGUAAGCAGCCUGGACGCUCUGCUGGAUUGGCAAAGCAGAAUAGCUGUAUGUCAGUGUACUUUAUUCAUCCAUCAUUGGGUCAGGGUCUGUGGGACAGACCCCCACAUGAUAAACAUUUUACAACCUAUUCUCUCUGAAGUCUACCACCUGAAGGCUUCCUUUGCAAAUAAGAACUUGGGUCUCCACAAUCCUUUGUCUUAAUCCAGACAGCCUGCCCUUUCUGUUGAUCCCAGGUCUUUAGACAAACUCAACCGUUGACCAGAAAAUGUUUAAAUUUACCAGUAGCCUGGAAGCCCUCCUACUUAAAGUUGUCCCCCCUUUCUGGACUGAACCAAUGUAUUUCUUAAAUGUAUUUAAUUGAUGUCUCAUGCCUCCCUAAAAUGUAUAAAACCAAGCUGCACCUCGACCACCUUGGGCACAUGUUCUCAGGACCUCCUGAAGGCUGUGUCACAGACCACGAUCACUCAUAUUUGGCUCAGAAUAAAUCUCUUCAAAUAUCUUACAGAGUUUGACUCUUUUUGUCAACAUAAGUAAG
rnacentral:lncRNA from 10 species